ACGCUCGACACCUACGAGAGGCAGCAGUGGGGAAUAUUGCACAAUGGGGGAAACCCUGAUGCAGCAACGCCGCGUGAAGGAAGAAGGUUUUCGGAUCGUAAACUUCUAUCAAUAGGGAAGAAAGAAAUGACGGUACCUAAAUAAGAAGCCCCGGCUAACUACGUGCUAGCAGCCGCGGUAAUCUGAGCGGGCUGGCAAGGC
rnacentral:rRNA from 1 species